rnacentral:rRNA from 1 species
AGUGAACGCUGGCGGUAGGCCUAACACAUGCAAGUCGAACGGCAGCACAGUAAGAGCUUGCUCUUACGGGUGGCGAGUGGCGGACGGGUGCGGAAUACAUCGGAAUCUACUUUUUCGUGGGGGAUAACGUAGGGAAACUUACGCUAAUACCGCAUACGACCUACGGGUGAAAGCAGGGGAUCUUCGGACCUUGCGCGAUUGAAUGAGCCGAUGUCGGAUUAGCUAGUUGGCGGGGUAAAGGCCCACCAAGGCGACGAUCCGUAGCUGGUCUGAGAGGAUGAUGAGCCACACUGGAACUGAGACACGGUCCAGACCCCUACGGGAGGCAGAAGUGGGGAAUAGUGGACAAGGGGCGCAAGCCGGAUCCAGCCAUACCGCGUGGGUGAAGAAGGCGUUCGGGUUGUGAAGCCCUUUUGUUGGGAAAGAAAAGCAGCAGGUUAAUACCGCGCUGUUCUGACGGUACCCAAAGAAUAAGCACCGGCUAACUUCGUG